AUGAAUCACGCGCCGCCGGGCUUCCGCUUCACGCCGACGCGUGAAGAGCUCAUCGGCUACUACCUCAACCCCUGGGUGGCCGACCCUGGAAAGACGCCCGUCGCCGAGCUCCGAGGCAUCGUCUGCGUCGCCGACAUCUAUGGCGAGGACCCGGCUGCCCUCACCUCGCGGCACCGGCGCUUCGGUCACGACGACGGCAAUUGGUACUUCCUCUGUGUGGCGCGGUGGAAGGGCGCCGUGGGCGGCCGGGCCAGCCGUGCCGUCCGGGGCGGCGGCACGUGGCACGGGUACGGCAAGAGGGUCGCCGUCGCCGAGGCCGGGCACCGCCAGGCCUUCGAGUACCUCGAUGCACGAGGACGCAAGACCGCGUGGCUCAUGGAGGAGAUCGGGACCGUGCUGCCGGUGGCCACCGGCGCCAACGGCGUCAGGGUGCUCUGCAGGUCCAGCAAAGCCUCCCGGUCUUCUAAGAGGCGGCGCCGCCAGGAGCUGAAGCCAUUGGGGAUGGUUGCCAUGGAGAAAAAGCCGGAGCCACUGGAGCACGUCUUCGCCAAGGACGAACCAGAGUCAUGGGAGAUCCUUGCAAUGGAGGACGAGGCAGAGCCAUGGGAGAUGAUUACCAUGGAGGACGAACUAGAGCAAUGGGAGACGAAGACAUAUUGUGAGAAGCCAUCUCCACUGCAGAUGCUUACCAACAACUUGACAUGGCCACAGGAGAUACUUACCAACAAAUUGCCAUGGCCACUGGAGAUGCUAACCAACAACCUGCCAUGGCCACUAGAGAUGCUCACCAACAACUUGACAUUGCCAUCGGAGAUGCUUAGCAAGAACUUCCCACUGCCACUAGAGAUGCUUACUAACAACUUGGUAUCGCCAUUGCAGACCCUUAACAAGAACUUGCCAGAGCCAGCGGAGACCGCUACCAAGAACUUGCCAUCUCCAUUGGAGAUCCUUACCAAGAACUUGCCAAAGCCGUUGGAGAUCCUUACCAAAGAGGAACCCACCACGACGACGACAGCCUUCGAUCAAGACUCCGGCACGGCAAACAAAGAAGCCACCCCUAACGCGGAGAUGGAGAUGCAGGCCGACGCAGAGUGGCACUCGCACUACCCGGAACUGUUCGAGCAGAAAGAGGCUCCGCCCAUGGAAGACGUCAUGAAGCCUCUGCCAGCACCGACGGUCCAAGAAUUUGAGCAAGGAGCCGCCCUUCCGGCGGCGGCUGUCGAAGAAUUCGGCGGGGUUGCUUGGAGUUGGGGAGGCCAUGGCCGGCGCUGCUUAGUGAGGCCUAUAUCGUUAGCUUGGAUACUACCUGGUUUUUCACAUGGUUAUUUGUUCUAG
rnacentral:rRNA from 1 species